GCCUACGUCCAUAUCACCCUGAAUGCCCUCGAUCUCGUCUGAUCUCGGAAGCUAAGCAUGGUCGAGACUGGUUAGUAUUUGGAUGGGAGACUGCCUGGGAAUACCAGGUUUUGUAGGCU
ensembl:rRNA 5S_rRNA 5S ribosomal RNA